UACAAAUUUCCUACUCCUUAAUUGCCUUGAAAAUAUUACUAUAAUUUAUAAAUAUUUAAAUUUAAAAUAAUUAUAAUUAAACAAUCACGUAAACUUUUUAUAAAGGAAAAAAUGAUAUCUACUUAUUUUUUCACCAACAAAUUAAAAACAUAGUAUGAUAUUCAACUCUAGAAAUAAUUAUCCAUCGAAUUUCAAUGGAUUACACACAAGUAAUCAUGUAAAAAGAAUCUAUUAACUAUAUAUAGUUAUCUAAUUGUAUGUAUAGUAUAUUGUUUGCUUCUGCCUAUUGUGUAUAAUUGUGUCAUCGUCCAAUUGUGUAUGAUUGGUUAAGAGUUGAUAGCAUUAUCCACACACAUUGAGGGAUGAAGUGCAUCAACCCUCCAUCUCCACCACUGUCACUCACAAACAAACACACAGUCUGGCCUCGUCGACUGCAACUCACCGGCACCGGCACCGGCAACGGCUUCUCCUUAACCAGCAGGGCGCUACCUUGUAUUUUUGUCGCGGCUACUGCCCCGCCCGCUGCCAAGUUGUCGGUUCUUCUUCAGACAGGCGGCGUAUGCCUAGUAGCAUAUUGGGUCGCAAAUUUCGUGGUGCCGGGAUUCGUUCUCAAGGACCUCCAAUCCAAAGAGAAAGCAGACGAGAAUCCAACCGAUGAUGAAGGAUGAACAAUACCAAUUUAUCUUGUUUUUAUCAAGUUUUGCAAUUCUGUAUUAAAUUACUUAAGUAAUUGCACUCGAGAUUCAUAUAUGAAUUAACUCUAUUUCAAAUAUGGAAA